UACGUAGGGCGCAAGCGUUAUCCGGAAUUAUUGGGCGUAAAGAGCUCGUAGGCGGUUUGUCGCGUCUGCCGUGAAAGUCCGGGGCUCAACUCCGGAUCUGCGGUGGAUACGGGCAGACUAGAGGUAGGUAGGGGAGAAUGGAAUUCCUGGUGUAGCGGUGAAAUGCGCAGAUAUCAGGAGGAACACCGGUGGCGAAGGCGGUUCUCUGGGCCUUACCUGACACUGAGGAGCGAAAGCGUGGGGAGCGAACAGG
rnacentral:rRNA from 1 species